CCAAACACCCAAACCAUUCAACCUGUAUUCAAAAAACUGUGGAUGGGAUCAGGUCUCUCUCACAGCCACCGGAGCAACGUCGCGCCUCAGCAGCAGCCGUCGUCGGCCCGCGUCAUCGCCGCCGACGGCUCGCUGACGGAGUUCGCCACCUCCUCCCCCGUCAGCGUCUCCGACGUCCUCGGCGCAGACAAUGCGGGCGCGGGUGGCCCCUUCUUCCUGUGCAAUUCCGACGCGCUCUACUUCGACGAGGACGUGCCGGCGCUCGGCGGCGGCGAGCUGCUCCGUCCCGGCCAGAUAUACUUCGUGCUCCCCCAGGCGAUGCUCGGGCGGCCCCUGUCGAGCGCCGACAUGGCGGCCAUGGCGGUGCGCGCGAGCGAGGCGCUGGCGGCGAGAGCGCGGCCGCGUGGACGCGGCGCUGGCAUCAGGAAGGUGCGCGUCACGCCGGUGCACGCCGAGAGCGGGCGUGGUGACGUGGACGCCCAGGUUAACGCGAAGCUGAACGAGAGGACCCUCGGGGAGUACUGCGUGAAAGCCUCUGCUAGCCCGGCGAAAAUCGGCAAGAAGGCUGCCGUGGCGGCAUUUCCGCCGGCGAAGAAGGCGCUCAAGCCGCUCAGCACCAUCGAAGAGGAUGCGGAGUGA
rnacentral:rRNA from 1 species